AUGGCUCUGCCAUGUGCGUGUUUUGAGGUGUUAUUUUUAAGGACCUAUAACAACUUUUGGGAAACCUGUCUUUGCUAGUAAGCGUACAAUUUCUCAACUGAGAUAAGUACAAGGCUAACAAGGGGUAAACCACCGUGAAAAUACGGGUCCAAAAGGUAUCCUCCCACGGCAUUACGGUGGAGCCUUA
rnacentral:other from 1 species